GUCAAAAUAGUUUAAUUAAAAUUUUAACUUGUGGAGUUAGGGAUGUGAAGUUUCACUUUUGGCA
rnacentral:tRNA from 1 species